rnacentral:rRNA from 1 species
UCGGGAAUAUUGCGCAAUGGAGGAAACUCUGACGCAGUGACGCCGCGUAUGGGAAGAAGGUUUUCGGAUUGUAAACCAUUUUAGACAGGGAAGAAUAAAUGACAGUACCUGUAGAAUAAGCUCCGGCUAACUACGUGCCAGCAGCCGCGGUAAUACGUAGGGAGCAAGCGUUAUCCGGAAUUAUUGGGUGUAAAGGGUGCGUAGACGGGAAUUUAAGUUAGUUGUGAAAUCCCUCGGCUCAACCGAGGAACUGCAACUAAAACUGAAUUUCUUGAGUGUUGGAGAGGAAAGUGGAAUUCCUAGUGUAGCGGUGAAAUGCUUAGAUAUCACGAAGAACUCCAAUUGCGAAGGCAGCUUGCUGGACUGUAACUGACGCUGAGGCUCGAAAGUGUGGGUAUCAAACA